rnacentral:lncRNA from 1 species
UUGGUUUUCACAGUUAUUUUAUGGUGUUUAUGGAAAUGUUGAAAUAAAAGAAAUUUACAGGCUGUGCUUGAUUCACCGAAGCAGGUGCAUUUGAUUGCAAGGAAAUUUGCUUAGGAUGUUUCUGGGCGUGGCAGCCUGUUAUUUCGAGGGUUCACCGUGAGCGUAAAUAGAUAGCUUGGAAACGUCCCCCAUUGGAUUAUUGUAUUCUUAAUACGGAAAGUGCGGUGCGGACU